GUGUCAGCCGCCGCGGUAAGACGUAGGGCGCGAGCGUUGUCCGGAUUUAUUGGGCGUAAAGAGCUCGUAGGCGGCUUGUUGCGUCGUCCGUGAAAACCUGGGGCUCAACUCCAGGCUUGCGGUCGAUACGGGCAGGCUAGAGUUCGGUAGGGGAGACUGGAAUUCCUGGUGUAGCGGUGAAAUGCGCAGAUAUCAGGAGGAACACCGGUGGCGAAGGCGGGUCUCUGGGCCGAUACUGACGCUGAGGAGCGAAAGCGUGGGGAGCGAACAGGAUUAGAAACCCGUGUAGUCC
rnacentral:rRNA from 1 species